rnacentral:rRNA from 1 species
GAUGAACGCUGGCGGCGUGCCUAAUACAUGCAAGUCGAGCGAACGGACGAGAAGCUUGCUUUUCUGAUGUUAGCGGCGGACGGGUGAGUAACACGUGGAUAACCUACCUAUAAGACUGGGAUAACUUCGGGAAACCGGAGCUAAUACCGGAUAAUAUUUUGAACCGCAUGGUUCAAAAGUGAAAGACGGUCUUGCUGUCACUUAUAGAUGGAUCCGCGCUGCAUAGCUAGUUGGUAAGGUAACGGCUUACCAAGGCAACGAUGCAUAGCCGACCUGAGAGGGUGAUCGGCCACACUGGAACUGAGACACGGUCCAGACUCCUACGGGAGGCAGCAGUAGGGAAUCUUCCGCAAUGGGCGAAAGCCUGACGGAGCAACGCCGCGUGAGUGAUGAAGGUCUUCGGAUCGUAAAACUCUGUUAUUAGGGAAGAACAUAUGUGUAAGUAACUGUGCACAUCUUGACGGUACCUAAUCAGAAAGCCACGGCUAACUACGUG